AUUAACAACAUCCACCAAGGCUCGGUGGAGCAGCCCCAGCUCCGUGCCAUGCACAAAUGGGGCUUUGUCAGAGCAAGCACACGGAGCCGGAAAAAAUUACAUUAGUGCUCUGCGGUGAGCGGGCAGCGUGGAUUUCCUCGGGGAAUCCCUCCGGGUUGUUCGGAUUAAGCAGCGGAGCUCUUCGCCUAAUUGGGAGCGGACUAAUUUGCUGGUUUUUCCCGCUGAGCUUCUGGGUCCCUCAGGAUCCUAAGAUCCGCUGACCACUGCUCAGUAAUGGUAAUUAAGUGCUAACUGGACAAACGCAGUGGAGUUGGCAGGGAUUCCCGGGGAAGAACCUUUUAGCAGCACACGACUUGAAGCUGCGCUGCUUUGUCCCUUCCAUUUCUGUGUGGGGAAAGUCUGGGCUCAGAUCUAAAAGGUCUCCCAGCUUCUCUGUUGUUUUGCAGAGCUGUAACAGCAUUCCGGGCAUAUAUUAAAAACAUGCAUAGAGAGUGGUUUCCUACACGGGGCAAAAUGUUUUCUUGUAACUGAAGGAGUGGGAAGCCACCCAAGACUUGGCUACUAGCAUCCUCUGGCCUCUUGCUCUUCAAACUGAGAGUGAAAGCUGGAGAAGAAUAGCACUUCUGUUUCAUCCUGUCAUUAAUUGGUAGUAUUGGAAGUGUUAUUCAAAGCUCCCUUCUCAGUGCUUUUCAGGGAAGGCAGCAGGCAGCUGCAGUCCUGUAUCCUCACCCCCAGGUGAACGCCACGCUUGGUUUUGCUGCGGCAAACCGCUGCCUUCAGCCUCACAGAUGUGAAUUCCGUGGCAAGUUGGUGUAUUGUCGUGGUAUAUAAUAAGUGCUUUUCCACGAACUUCCAGCGUCUGGGCAGCCUGUGCGCCCACGGGCCGCUCCCAGCAGAGGGUGCAGGAGCUUCGUUUCCAGAGCCCGUAGCUCGUGGCUGCGCUCAUUUCUCGCUGUGCUGGUGGUGAACUGGUCCUGUCUGCUCCCACUUGUGCUGCUGCAAAGAACGGCGGCUGUUCUCGUUUUAUAUGUACACAAAGAUUUGACACAGUGCUGGGAAAAGGGAAUGAAACUCCCUCAUAGCUUCAGUUAUCUGUUUCCCUCCCCCUGAUCUGCACUGUUAUCCCCUCUUGCAUGAUUGCUUGCUUGCACUGAGCAGUGCUAUUUAGCUAAUGGACGUGAAGCUGUUUGAAGAUGUAUGGCACUUUGUAAAGUCUUCGUGUGAUUACUCUGCAUUAGUCAUAAAAGGCAACGAUGCAAUUCAUCUCUCACUGCAGGGCAGGAGCUGCUGGGGCUGCCUGAGAGCUUAUUUACUUCCUUUCUUCCUAAUGAAGUGAGGUUGGAAUGGCUGGAGAUGGUCUUUGAGAGAGAUGCUGUGCGAUGGGUAUCGAUACAGUGUUUGAGAUAGGAAUGGGACAGCUUAGAAAAGAACUGAAGCAGUUUUUAUGGAUCAAUUUUCUGCAUGCUUCUAAGGUACCAAGAGGGUACAAAGUUGCUUUCUCUGAAAUAUCAAAGCAGCAGCUAUGACAGGCUGGGGGCUUGCCAAGAGAAAAAGGACACCUUCACCAAACAUGUUUUCCUACUCCUGUGUAGUGCUUAGGCUCUCCUCCAGCUGCAGAGCUUUCCACGAGCUUGUGCUGGGGCCUGGGAAAAGCACAGGGAUGUGGGGAGGCUCUGAGCACUGCCCGGUACAAAGAAGGGAGAUAAAAAGAGCUGAACUGUGAGCAGAGUCUGGGAAUUUCAUCUGCUGUGUGAUGGCUUUCGAAGAGUAAAUCUUAAACAGGCUCUUCACUGUAAGACAGGAGACUUGAUGAAGGAAAAAAAGAAAGCAAGAACUUUUCCCAUUCCUUUCACUUUCAAGAUUUCCAAUUAUCAGAAGGCAGCCUAAUCCAGCUGGGGAGGGGUGGAAGCUCAGUCCUGCACUGUGCAAGGGGAAAAUCCCUUUGGAAUGUAUGAAUUGGAUGUGCCAGGUGCUGAGCUUUAUUCACCGCUCACCCUCUUGCUGUAGUGAGAAGAAAUGAGUUGCUGAAAGGGAAGAGAUGUCUUUAGAAGGGAAGUCAGCCCUGGCCUGCAAUGAUAACUUUGUUUCCUAAUAACAUACUGCUGGGGAGGAGCAUUCUUGCACUGCUUCUGAAGAGUGGGGGUUGCUUCCCAAAGCUUGUUUUCUCCUUCAAUCUUCACAGAUAUUGAUCUGUAUCAAAAUGGAUUUUACAAAGAGGAGGAGGGGGGAAAACAACCCCAUGACCUUCAGAUCUAUUUAGUGAUUGGAGUCGCAUGAAAAAUAUCUUGAUUAUAACCUGGCAAUUUUCUCCAGUUGCUCUGUGGCAGAACAGCAGAGCUGCUGAUGUAGGCAGGAGUGCAAUGCAGGCAACAGAAAUUGCUUCUGUAAUGUGAAGAGAUGUAUUCUGGAGUGAUUUCUUUAUCCUAUUCAGGUUUUUGGGACCUGGAGCUGCGAUCACUGGUUUUCUCUUACUGAUGUUCUCAGUGCACCAAUUGGCCAGCAGCCUCUAUAUGAGGUUGAUGCUAUCCCCAUCCAGAUCUUCUCCCUUCAUCCAUGCCAUGUAGGACACCCAGCAUCCUUCUCAAGAGCCACACAGCUGGGGUUUGCAAGAGACACUGCAAAGCCACACCAGGCACUUCCUUCACAGUCAGUGGUACAUCAAGGUUCAUCAUGAGGUGUGUGCAUGGACUGCUGAUCUCGUGAGCAUCACUGAGCGUGUGUGUGCUUGGGAGAUCCUACAACUCAGGGUCUGAUACAGCCAGAAUCUGCUGAAGGUGAUGGACAAAUUCCUUUUUGGAGAAAGUCUGGAGGUUGUAGUAAAGUGUGGUCAAAGAAAUGUCUAGGCGGCUCACAGAUGUGGUGUCUGAAAACACUGACAACAGAUUAUUGGAAACUCUUGUUCUGGUAAGUCCUUGAGUUCCAGUUAUUGUUUUUGUGUGAGGUACUCUUGGUGCUAAGCAGAAGGGGGGAGGGGGGGGGAGAUAAAUUUCUACAGAAGAAGAAAGCAGUUCUUUUCUCUUGCCUUUGGCUAAAAUAUCUACAGUAACGUUGGCAAAAUAGGAGGAAAAGUACAAGCUUUGUUUCCCAUGGAUGGGUGGGCAGACAGCCAGAGGACUUGGGAAGAAAUCUUCAAGCUGCUGUGUGCCCUCCCCAGCACGGAGACCUUCCACUUGUCUGGGGCUGUUGUAAGAAGCUGCUUCCUUUGCAGGGGUCUCUGUAAAGCCUUUAAUGAGCUGCAUGUGCAGAAGUCAGUGGGACAAACGUGCAGGUCUGCUCUUCACCUCUGAAGGAAAAACAUCUCCAGUGUACUGCCUUCUGGAGAAGUAGGGUGGGCAUAGAGAAGGAGUAGAUGCCCUAAAUUCCUAUUAGCUCCAGUACCACCAGCUGCAGCCAAGCAAGCUUUCCUUAGGAUUUACGUGGGGCACUUGAUGCUAGAACAGAAAGAAGUGUUUUUCUUGUGAUAUUUCAUUAAUUACCCAUGCAGACAAGACAUGCACAAGCCCUAAUAGCUUCUGCAGAAGUUCUGUGCCCUCUGUAGAGCUGCAGACACAGAGCCCUGCCCAGUUGCUGCCAUGCUAUGAUGUGCUGAGUCAAUUAAAACUCUGUGCUUAUCAUGGACAUGCAAAACAAAUGUUAUCUACCCUAUUAGCCUGGUAAACCACAGGGCAAGCUACUGUUCUUCAUGAUAAUAAAAUAGUGCAUUAGCAUAAGUCAAUCAGGAGCAGAUUUUAGAAAUAAUUGGUUUAGAUUUUGAGCUAACAGCUGCUUUGGUUAUAAGCUCUCGGACACUUUGUUUUUAAUUGGACAAUUUGAAGAAAAUGUUAUCCAGUGCCUCCAGGCUUCCUUCAGUAGGAAAAUUCUUUUUUUUUAUAAAGAGUUCCAUGAAAGUCUGCCUCUCUGUAAAGACAACUGCAUGGCUAAUGCAGUGUGCAACAACAGCAGCUGCAACUAUUACUGAUUGCAGAUGUGGCCAAGGUUCUAAACUGAAGGAAUCAAAAACUGAGUAACAAUUUUGAAAGGAAGCAAGAAGGAAGCAAAGCAUCCUGCAGGUGUUACUCCAGCUGGGGUUGGAUUGUGCAGUGGCACCCAGGGGCCUCCUGUAGCAAUCAGCAGCCUUGCUGGUGGCCUGAGCUGGCAGGAGCAGCUCUGUUAUCUCCUGCCCAGCUAAGAAGAACAGGGCAGUCAGAGGGAGCUGCUAGAAACAGCUCAUAAAGUUUUCUGUUACAGAAAAUGAAUCGUGUGUUUAGAACUUCAAUUUAGAGAGCUGGCAAUGCACACCAGAUGGAAGGGACCUGCAGAACUUGGCAAGUGAUGGCUGAAACUGUUGAGAUAACACGGGCUUCAGUUUCGUUUGAAAGCUGUGUUUAUUUUUUCUAUAUAACCUGAAUUUCUGUGGCCAAAAAAAAAAAAAAAAAAGAAAAGAAAAAAAGGAAAUAGAGAGCAGAAGAGAUUUGAAAGCACAAGAGGGAAAAUGAUCAGGACAGAGUCUGAGAGAAGACCCUGGGACCUUCCCCUUCAAAAGCAAUGUGAAUCCUGGCCCAUCUCCGGUGUGUGUUUGUCCUGCUGCUUUUCAAGCUGCAGCCUUCCAGCAUUCUUCCUGUUGCUCAUCAAAUCUGCAGCCUUCAAAUCACCCUCUUACUGACUCCAGAAGGCUCUCUGACCACAUCUGCCAUUGCAAUCCUUCAUGGGAACCCCAUCACCCCCAAACCAGGUGCCUGGAGGGUCCUGUGGGAGGGAGAGGGGGGAGAUCCCUAAUCAGAGAUCCCCUGGUCACUGCUCCUGCAGAACCUAGUGGAGACCCUUCCCAAAAUCUCCUCCCUUUCCAGCCCAGCUCUCUGGAAGUAGUGGCCUGCCCACGUUUGGAUACCUUGCCUGGAAGGUGGCAGAUGACGCCUAUGAAACUCUUUCCCUGACAUUCAGAGCUGCUAAUUUUUAAUGCAAACUGUUGCCUUGGUAUUUGCAUUUGAAAUCAGUUUGCAUCUCCUUAACUCUUUUGCCACCUCCUCUGUAGCUAUAUAGACUUGCACAGGAAUGUGCAAGACACCAAGUUGUCACUGGGAGGUUUACUUGGGUCUCGGGAUGUGCAGUUCUGGAAGCAGCUCAGUAAAAGGAUAAAGCUGCCUUCCCCAUCAGUGCCAAGAUUCAUCACACCAAGAAAAGCCCCAUUCUGACAAAGCAGUAGCUGGGAAUGGCAUCAU